GGAGGACGCUGGGGAUCGCAAGACCUUGCGCUCAUUGAGCGGCCGAUGCCUGAUUAGCUAGUUGGUGAGGUAAAGGCUUACCAAGGCGACGAUCAGUAGCUGGUCUGAGAGGACGACCAGCCACACUGGGACUGAGACACGGCCCAGACUCCUACGGGAGGCAGCAGUGGGGAAUUUUGGACAAUGGGGGAAACCCUGAUCCAGCCAUGCCGCGUGAGUGAAGAAGGCCUUCGGGUUGUAAAGCUCUUUCAGCCGGAACGAAACGGUCACGGCUAAUACCUGUGACUACUGACGGUACCGGAAGAAGAAGCACCGGCUAACUACGUGCCAGCAGCCGCGGUAAUACGUAGGGUGCGGGCGUUAAUCGGAAUUACUGGGCGUAAAGCGUGCGCAGGCGGUUUUGUAAGUCAGAUGUGAAAUCCCCGGGCUUAACCUGGGAACUGCGUUUGAAACUACAAGGCUAGAAGGG
rnacentral:rRNA from 1 species